CGGGAGACUCCGGAUGCCAGACGCGCUCCGCAGCGGCGGCGGCGGCGGCCGCGCCUGAUUCAUUGCGCCAAAGCUGCAGAUGCGACCUCCCGCCUGCGCCCUGUGCCCCGGCCCGCGCCGGGCUGCGUGCGCGCCUGGAGAGAUGGGGGGGAGCGGCAAUUUGUAGGCGCUCCCCCCUCAAGAGGCGGGCCCCGGUCCCCCGGGGCCGGGUCCCCAGUCCCCAGCUCCCCGGGCUGCGCUAAUUAGCUUCUUCCGGGGGCGCCACGCGGCGUGAGGGGCGGCAAUUUCCCGGCUGGGCUGCGGGGGAAGCACUCCCACCGCCUGGGAAGUGCACCGUCUCCAUGGAAACCGCGGAGGAGGUCACGGUAGCUGGGCCCCCGCGCGUCACCCCGCGCCUCGCCGGCUGCAGGCGCCAGGAUUGCUGCCUCCCAGGCGCCGCGGCCCGCGUGGACUCUACUCCGAGUUCCCCGCCCCCGCUCCACUCCGCCCGCGGCUCAAGCCAUAUGACUCUGCCGGGUCCCAACCGGGAAGGGUGAACCUGGGCACCAGUGCGCUAGGCUAUACCUCUGUCCCCGGGCUCUGGCACGCGGGAAUGCUCCAAGACACACGUGCCCAGCUCCAAGACGGGGACACGUGCGGCGACACGCCGCCAAAGGGCUCCCUGCACUAGUGAAUGCCCCGCAGGAUCGACCUAUAUAGGCGCACAACUCCAGAGCUCUCUGCUAAAGCAAAACCACCUAUAGUUAAGAACCCUGAAGUCCGCCUGGGUUAUCUUACUAGCUAUGUGACUUCGGGCAAGUCACAACCUCUCUGCGUCUCGGCUUGCUCAUCAGCAAAAUGUAAUUGUCGGGUGGCUUGAGACAAAGUACGUGAAACGUU